CCUACGGGUGGCAGCAGUGAGGAAUAUUGGUCAAUGGGCGGAAGCCUGAACCAGCCAAGUAGCGUGCGGGAUGAAGGCCCUACGGGUCGUAAACCGCUUUUGGACGGGGAUAACACCCUCCACUUGUGGAGGUCUGCAGGUACCGUACGAAUAAGGGCCGGCUAAUUCCGUGCCAGCAGCCGCGGUAAUACGGAGGGGCCGAGCGUUAUCCGGAUUUAUUGGGGUUAAAGGGAGCGUCGGGGGGCGUUCAAGUCAGCUGUAAAAUCGCGGGGGUCAACCGCGCACCGAAGUUGAAACUGGGCGCCUUGAGUGCACAAGAGGCAGGCGGAAUUCGUGGUGUAGCGGUGAAAUGCAUAGAUAUCACGAGGAACCCCGAUUGCGAAGGCAGCCUGCCGGGGUGCGACUGACGCUGAGGCUCGAAGGUGCGGGGAUCAAACAGGAUUAGAUACCCCUGUAGUC
rnacentral:rRNA from 1 species